UGAGUUAGUGGCGGACGGGUGAGUAACGCGUGAGCAACCUGCCUUUCGGAGGGGGAUAACGUUUGGAAACGAACGCUAAUACCGCAUAACAUACAGAUAUCGCCUGGUAUUUGUAUCAAAGGAGCACUCCGCUGAGAGAUGGGCUCGCGUCCGAUUAGAUAGGGGGGGGGGUAAUGGCUCACCAAGUCUACGAUCGGUAGCCGGACUGAGAGGUUGAACGGCCACAUUGGGACUGAGACACGGCCCAGACUCCUACGGGAGGCAGCAGUGGGGGAUAUUGCACAAUGGGCGAAAGCCUGAUGCAGCAACGCCGCGUGAGGGAAGACGGUUUUCGGAUUGUAAACCUCUGUCCUUGGUGAAGAAUAAAUGACGGUAGCCGAGGAGGAAGCCACGGCUAACUACGUGCCAGCAGCCGCGGUAAUACGUAGGUGGCGAGCGUUGUCCGGAAUUACUGGGUGUAAAGGGAGCGCAGGCGGGGAAGCAAGUCAGCUGUGAAAUCUAUGGGCUUAACCCAUAACGUGCAGUUGAAACUGUUUUUCUUGAGUGGAGUGGAGGUAGGCGGAAUUCCGAGUGUAGCGGUGAAAUGCGUAGAGAUUCGGAGGAACACCAGUGGCGAAGGCGGCCUACUGGGCUCUAACUGACGCUGAUGCACGAAAGCGUGGGUAUCAAACAGGAUUAGAUACCCUGGUAGUCCACGCUGUAAACGAUAAAGAGGGGUUGUUUGCGAUACACCUGCAAAGUGACUGAGCGAAAGCCAUUUAAGUAAUCCACCCGGGGGAGUACGUCGGCAAACGAUGAAACUCAAAAGGAAUUGACGGGGGCCCGCACAAGCGGAGGAACAUGUGGUUUAAUUCGAUGAUACGCGAGGAACCUUACCUGGGUUUAAAUGGGGAGUGACAGGCUUGGAAACAGGCCCUUCUUCGGACACUCUUCAAGGUGCUGCAUGGUUGUCGUCAGCUCGUGCCGUGAGGUGUCGGGUUAAGUCCCAUAACGAGCGCAACCCCUAUCGAUAGUUACCAGCACGUUACGGUGGGGACUCUAUCGAGACUGCCGGUGUAAACCGUGAGGAGGGUGGGGAUGACGUCAAAUCAGCACGGCCCUUACAUCCAGGGCUACACACGUGUUACAAUGGCCGGUACAAAGGGCAGCUACACAGCGAUGUGAUGCUAAUCUCCAAAUCCGGUCUCAGUUCGGAUCGAAGUCUGCAACCCGACUUCGUGAAGCUGGAUUCGCUAGUAAUCGCGCAUCAGCCAUGGCGCGGUGAAUACGUUCCCGGGCCUUGCACACACCGCCCGUCA
rnacentral:rRNA from 1 species